UACGUAGGGUGCAAGCGUUUGUCCGGAAUUAUUGGGCGUAAAGAGCUCGUAGGCGGUUUGUCGCGUCUGCUGUGAAAAUCAGGGCUUACCGCGUGACCUGCAGUGGGUACGGGCAGACUGGAGUGCGGUAGGGGAGAUCGGAAUUCCUGGUGUAGCGGUGAAAUGCGCAGAUAUCAGGAGGAACACCGGUGGCGAAGGCGGAUCUCUGGGCCGUAACUGACGCUGAGGAGCGAAAGCAUGGGGGAGC
rnacentral:rRNA from 1 species